rnacentral:ncRNA from 1 species
ACCAUCCUUUUUUGGGGGUAGUACGACUGUCCAAUGAAUGAGUAGUGAGGGUAGUACUGCUAAUGCCUAUCCAGCAUGCCCACAUCAACAAGAGCUUUGCUUCACUUUGGUGCAAUUUUUGGAAAA